GGGGGGGUAGCACGGGGUAGCUGCGAGUCUGCUCCGGAGAGCCUGGUCGCGGUUGCUGGACCAUCAUCGAGCUAGUUAAUUCGGAAUGAACAACUAGUCGUGAGGCUGUGAGGCUAGUAUUCGGGUUGUGGUUAGGUGCGUGGGAUUUUCUUCUCCCUAAAGGGUAAGGGACACUUAGCUGUGUUCUCUUUCGACGGUUGGGCGACACGUGUUAUUUUCGGACUACGCUGGGCACUAGAGACACGUCUGCACGCUUCGGCACUCCACAGCGAACUGAGCCCAAGCUCACUAUCAUAAAUCUGGAACAAAUACAAUCGGAUUGAAUGGCGGCAAUCGCUUAAUUACGGCUAUGGUAGAAUCUAGAUUAAAGUGUUAAGGGACUUUCCCAAAAUUCCAAAGGAGAGGCUCCGGUGUCCUUUCAUCUCUGAUAUAUAUAUAUAUAUAUAUAUAUAUGCUCAGAUUUCAGAGCUUAGUUUUAGGAGUAAUGUAAUAUCGUAAGGUAGUUCGAAUUAGAAAUCAGUUGAAAAUAGAUAAAACCGAGUACGUCGUCUUUCUGUGGUUCGUUUACAUUUAAGAGUGCCUGCGUGACUAAAGGCACGUAGUUGGUAGUUCUUACAUAGGUAUGAGGGAAACAAUAGACAACGUUAGAAGAAGGACGGUUUCGCUAUCCAAGGCGGGACGACCGAAAGAUCAGAGUGUGCGAGUCGAAAAGUGUGCGUGUUGCGAGAAUCAGAGCUAAUUGAGUCGUCGAAGAGUAGAGUCGUUAGAGGUAAUCGAGUCGUCGAAGAGUAGAGUCGUGAGAAUUGAUAGAGUUGUUAGAGAGAGAGAGUGUGUGUGUGUUAGAUUCGUUGUGACGAGGGUGGUCAAAUAACUGUAAAGUUAUUUGAUAUAGAUACGAGUAUUGCAUUUAGUUUCCGUUAAAUAAACAUCGUUUUCUGUCCAAUUUAUAUUUGUAUAUUCAAUUUAAUAUUAAUAAAUUUUACAGACCUAACUGAAGAGUUAAGCCCUGCGAUGUGUAGUUGGUCCAGGGACAGUGUGGCAAAUCUAUUCGUUCAACGCUGAUUGGUUCCGCCAUUUAUAAAAGCGCUUCCUGCAGCAGUUAUGUAUAGAUUGGUAUAAAUAUAAAUGUAUGAAGUAUACGUUUACAAAGUUGUCUGUAAACAAAGUGUAAUAAUAUUUACCGUGUAUUGGAGUGUAUAUAACGACGGAAAUAAAGAAUAAUAAGAAAAAUCAUCAUAGAGAACAUACAGAAUUAACAUUUAAGUUUGGAACGUUAGUUCAAAUGCCUGAUUACUCAGCCAAGGGAUGCAGAAACAAGUCAAAGAGUGGCCAUAGUUGUACACACAGGUCUGUUAACUGCUGUAAAGGAGAUAAGGUUCUUAAUGUCGCAAGAUGUACUUUACCAAUCGGCCACCAUUGAACAAUGCGAUCGAGUAGCUAGGAUUUUGUGUUUGGCGCCAUUCUUCGGUGAAAGCACUAAAGAUACAUCUACAAUACUCCAUUUAUUACAGAAAGCAUUGUUUAAAUGAAUAUUAAUUAUGAACCAUUAUUAAACAUGCAUUAUUAUUACCAACAAACAAGUUUAACAAGACCACAAUUUUCAAAUUAAAUAUGUACACAUAUCUUUAAUGCUUUUACAUUUGACGCAUAUAUUGGAAAACGUAGCAGUAUAUGCACCACUGCGAACAGGCAGUACAUUGACAGAGAUUAUAGAAGUAGCAUUGGCAACUACUACUUAUGAACCAAAUAACAGGCAAACAAAAAUAAUUCCGCAAGACUUUCUUGACAAAAUCAGAGGAAAAAAGAUUCACUUUCUGCGUACGAGAAUUCCAACUAUUUCCUAUGGAAAGCCACGAACAAAAUAAAGGAGCCAAUUAAACUAAUCCCAGCAAUCAGAUUAACGGACAACACAUGAGCCAGAAGCAACGAAGAGCAAGCUGAAGAAUUUUCCAACCACCUUUGUUGAAGUUAUCUCUUCGAGGAACGCGUGAUGAAUGUGCAACAGAAAUAUAUUUAAGUAUAAGUGUAACUCGUUACAUUACAACAGAGCUUCGAAGCCAUGAGUCUAUGGGUAUUUAUAUAAUUACGAAAACUGGCCGGUCUAUAUAUACCCUGCUGCACCAUCUGUGCAUGGCAUAUUCCUAAAAAAGGCUAUGAGACUGAGAGGCCCUUCAAAUUGAUUUAGAGCUAAACAAUACUCAAUAGCAUCGGGGACUAAGAGAACUAAACGCUAGAGAAGAUGUAGUUUUCCUAGAAACCUAAUUUUUGUCGUAAAUAUUGAAAUCUUGGUUUCGGUAACGCCUUCGUAAAUAUAUCUGCUUGUUACGUCCGGCGACUCUCUACACAAAGCAGACUCCACGCCACGUGAGUUCUAUUAGAAACAGUGACAAUGACUGUUUUGUAUCGUAUCUGGUUAUAUUAUUUAUUGUUCUUACUUGGUGCCCGAUUUUUGUUAGUUCCUUGCAUAUAUUUUUGGUGUUUGUUCUUGGGUAUAGGUCUCUAAUUACUACUUUGUGGUUCUUUUCUGUUUUGAGUUGGUAUGUAUGAUGUAUGGUAUGUUUAAUACUUGCGCCACUUUUCGAAAGAUUUUUGGAGUAUUUGUUUGCACUUUGACUUGUUCCAGUUUUAAUUCCUUUAUACUGUAGUUUUCUCUUCCGACAGUGUUGUUUAAUAGUUCAAUAAGGGUAUCUGUUAUUUGAGCAUGAAUGUAGAUCGGUGGUGGUUUAACGAUAUGUGUUGUCAUUUCUUCCUCUGAACUCGUAUCUCCGUCUUUUAUCAGUGAGCUGAAAGAAUUUCGGAGUGGGAUGUCCUGUAGCCACUGGUGCAUUUCUGUAAUUUUUAUAGCGCUUGUAUUUAGGAUUAUUUUACGCCUUUUGUGAGCUGUUGCUACCUUCCAGUUUUCAUCUUGAUAGGAUAGUUCGUUAUUGUAGCUGUUUUCUUCCUGCUUUUGCAACGUUUCCAUUUCUUUUAUAGGCUUUCCUGUUCUUUGUUAAUUGGUUGUUUUCUGCUUAACGUAUUUGUAGCUUCAUUUAUGAAACAUAUGUCACCCUUUUUUGUUUGGCGGCGGUAUUGGUUGUUGCAUUUUGAAACUUUUACCAUGUGACAGUGUUCGUUAACGUUUUAACCUCCUAAAUUCACUAUUUAUCGCACUAACACUGGAGCACAUUUAUUCGCGCCUGUUUACCUCGACUGCUCGGGCAGAAUUGUCAUUACAAUGCAAUUAUCUAUAUUGUUACAUCGAGGCCUUUCUUCUAUUUUGUCCGGCAAUUUUCAUUUUUAACGUGAUGAACAUUUUCUUCUACAUCAUAUUUUAAAAUUUGUUAACAAUCACUGUUUACAAAUUGACGGCAAGUACCUGAUUUGGGAUUAUACGUUCUAUAUACAUCGAACGUAACAAUAAGGAACACAGAAAGCAACUGAGAUAUAACACGAUAUUGAAAUUGGAAAUUAAUUACACCCUCGUAGCGGUGCCUGCAUCAGCUUGGACUAAUUCGCAAACGAUGGAAGUUGUAUAUGUUAGAGCGAAAAGAAGCCUCGCAUAUUCAAUCUCAGAAUGUCAUGUCCGAAGGAAGUCCAUCUCCAACGCAGCUAAUCGAACUCUGCUUCUAAUCGAACUUUUCGGGGUUAUUUUCAUGUUCGGUAUCAUUUUGAUCAAAAGAACCUCAACAAUUCAACUAAAACAACGUUUUGUCGAUGAAAUAAAAGAUGUAGAAGCUUCAUUUUUUCUAUCGAAGAGAUCUUAACAAAAGAACGAUAACAGGUUGUACCUUAAUGCCUCGAUGAAAGAAAUUUUAUAUUUUAACG